AGAGAAGACGAGAAAAAAA
rnacentral:sRNA from 1 species